rnacentral:rRNA from 1 species
UAACACGUGGGUGACCUGCCUUCGAGCGGGGGAUAACGUCCCGAAAGGGACGCUAAUACCGCAUAACAUCCUGCCUUUUAAGAGGUGGAGAUCAAAGCCGGGGAUUCGCAAGAACCUGGCACUUGAAGAGGGGCCCGCGCCUGAUUAGCUAGUUGGUGGGGUAAUGGCCUACCAAGGCAACGAUCAGUAUCCGGCCUGAGAGGGCGGACGGACACACUGGGACUGAGACACGGCCCAG